AAAUAAAAAAUAUUUAGUGAAAUAGACAAGGCCUGCCCUCGUCACUGUAUUUUGGCGACAAACACAUCCACUAUUGACCUCAAUUUAGUUGCAGAAAAAACAAAAUCACCAGAUCGUGUUGUAGGAGCUCACUUUUUCAGCCCUGCCCAUGUGAUGCCUCUUUUGGAGAUUGUACGUACACAAAAAACUUCCCCACAAGUCAUUCUUGAUCUUGUGGCAAUGGGGAAAGUCGUAAAGAAAGUUCCCGUUGUGGUCGGUAAUUGUACCAGUUUUACGGUCAACCGGACAUUCUUCCCAUACUCGCAAGUUGCACAUUUGUUGGUCAAUUUAGGUGUCGACUUGUUCAGAAUCGACCGGGUCAUCAGCAAUUUCGGCAUUCCUAUUGGUCCUUUCCAACUGCAAGACGUAUCAGGGUACGGAGUGUUCUUGGCAGUUUGGGAAGAAUUUUCGAAGUCGUUCCCAGAUCGAGUAUUCAUAUCUCCAAUGAUUUAACUUUUGAUGAAAAAUGGACGAAAUGGUAGAGAAAAUCAUAGUUUUGUUCAUA